rnacentral:misc_RNA from 1 species
CUUCCACGCCCUGGCCUGCGCAUCAGGGUAGGGGUUUACGGGAGGGUCUUCGGCAGCUGCUUCGUGGUGGUCGUGUGCGUCCUCGGUGGUGGCGGUGGCUGUAUCGAUGACACGAGAGAGACGUCGGGGCCGGCGGUGCUGAGGCGGAUGCAGCGAUCUGCUUUGCCGCCUUGAGUGGCUGCUGCCCGGACCGCGUUUGCCCUCUCUGCCUGUCUCCCGACUCUUGUCGCCAUCUGAGCUGGAUGCGACAGCAGCACAUCACGAGCGCUGCGAGACCGAGGGUGAGGGGGGAUGGUCUAAAGGCUGCCGUGCUCGUUUCACUCUCUCCUUUGGCCUCUUGCUUCGACUGCACGUUCUCGACGAGAAAAGAGAAAAAGGCGCAUGCGCCACGCGGCGCUCUUCCCAUUUUGGCUGUGGUGGGGGUGGGGAGGCGGAGUGCUGCAUCGACACCUCUCACUGCCCGCCGAAGCCUCCGUCGCUCACUUCCCCCUCUCUCUCUCCCCGGUGGUGAAGCCGCACAUGCCGCGUCGUUGAGCCUCUCUUGCGGUGCAGGCUUGGCCUUGUCUCCCCCUGUUCAUUUUUUCUUUGCUGUUUUGAUUGUUUGUUUCUUCACUCUUCUCUCUCUGUGCAAGCGGAUGCGUGGCUGCGUGUGCCGGUGUCUGCCUGGCGAGGGCCGUGCACGUACUCCUGUGCGUGUCGCUGUGUCCCCCUCUCUGUCGCGAAGCUCUGCGCAGGACCUGCAUGGACCUACACCGGCUUCACGCAUUCACGCACGCAUCCGCUCGCUGAGCGAGGCCCUCGUCGCUACCGCCUUCGCUUGUUUGCAGGUGCGGCGGACUCGCCGGCCCGCCCUCCUCCUCGCCGCCUGCGGUGUGACGACAAAAGAGAAACGAACGCAAAACAGGGCAGGCAGGCACGGGGAGGCUGCUGGCGGAGACAGGAGAUACCCGCAUGGACAGCCGCACACGGUCGGACGGCCUGCUCCGUCCCAGCCUGCUCCUGUAUCCCCUGCGCGCCAUUCCGCAGAGCUGACGACAGCGCGAACUGCUAUGCGUCUCGGUGCGUAUGUGCUGACUUGGCUGUACUCCUCCUGCCUUCUAUGACUCGACUCUCUUUCUUCGCCGUUUCUUUGCUUCCGGCCUGCCCCCGCUUCCGUUUUCCCACCUCCCUCUCUCGCAG